UACGGGGGGGGCAAGCGUUGCUCGGAAUUACUGGGCGUAAAGGGCGCGUAGGCGGCCUGCUAAGUCGGACGUGAAAUCCCUCGGCUCAACCGAGGAACUGCGUCCGAUACUGGUGGGCUUGAAUCCGGGAGAGGGAUGUGGAAUUCCAGGUGUAGCGGUGAAAUGCGUAGAUAUCUGGAGGAACACCGGUGGCGAAGGCGGCAUCCUGGACCGGUAUUGACGCUGAGGCGCGAAAGCUAGGGUAGCAAACGGG
rnacentral:rRNA from 1 species